rnacentral:rRNA from 1 species
AAACUUGCCUCACAGCUAGGGACAACAUUUGGAAACGAAUGCUAAUACCUGAUAUUAUGAUUAUAUGGCAUCGUAUAAUUAUGAAAGCUAUAUGCGCUGUGAGAGAGCUUUGCGUCCCAUUAGCUAGUUGGAGAGGUAACGGCUCACCAAGGCGAUGAUGGGUAGCCGGCCUGAGAGGGUGAUCGGCCACAAGGGGACUGAGACACGGCCCUU